UCACAUAGUUUGAAAAUGAUAUUUCAUUCCAAGCUGCAUACUGCAAGAAGGGAAAAAAACAAUGCAACUAAAUUUACAGCAGUGAAGUUGAUUUACAUUUACCAGAGGUUCUCAACCAGAGCAGAAUUUCAUAGUUUUGCUACCAUUAUUCAAGAAAACGGUGGAGAUUUUAUGAAGCAUGAAUUUCUCUUGAUAAAGGAUAAUAGGUUAAGUAUAAUUCGCUAGGUAUAAGUUCCUUCUUCAAAAAUAAUCCAUUUUUUGUUUCUAAUCAUGCAACUGAUAAUAACUCAACUGUCUAAGAGUUACCAAAUAUAAUUCAAAUUACCUGUAUUCAAAAAAUUUUAACACAGGUCAC